CCCCAGCACCUCACCCAGUCUUGCUCUCAGCCUGGUCUGACGGCGCCUCUGGGUGGGGCCAGUUGGAAAGGAAUCCCGGCCUUUUGCUAACAAUGAGCUGCAUUCUUCCUCUCCUCCGGAGGCUGCCCCAGUCCACCCAGCUGAUGUAAGUCCAGGGAGCACCCAAGAGGGCAGGUCUGCCUGCCCAGUGAUGGGCGGAGCCACCAGCGUGCCCAGGGCUGGGCCCGCCCAACUGGGCCCAGUUGAGGCCACCUGGCUAUGACUUCCCCAGCAGUGACCUUGAGCAGUGAUGGUACCUGAAGCAGGCCUCUCCAAGCCAGGCUGCCACAUGCUGCCUAUGCAACCUCAGGUAAGUGACCUCACCUCUCCCAGCCUCAGGGUCCUUAUCUAAGUGCCCCCUUCCUUCCAGAGCUGUUGGAGGGUACAAGGGAGAGCACAUGCGUAAGGCUGUGCCCAGCAGGCUCUGAAUGAGGGGCAGCCACCUGUCCAUCCUCACCUCGGUCAUCCACUCGUUCCCCAAACCUCAUGGGAGCCUCUAGCAUGAGCCAGACACCGUCUCAGACGCAGGGGACAGAAGGACACGAGAUAAACAACGGCCCUGUCCUUGUGGAGCGGACAUUCUGUCACGGGACACAAGAUGAUUUCAGAGUGAGAAGGGCUGCUGGUGCCUUCCCUGACCCCUCUGAGGAGGGCAUUUUGAGGAUCCCUGCUCCUGGUCCUUCCAGUUACAGCUAAAGCCAGGGCCUUCUCUUCCUGCUACCCCUUCUCCUGCACUGUCAUGGGAACGGCUCCUUCUCAGCAGAACCCCUCAGAUGAUGUCACUGGCCUGAGCCUUCCUACCCCAGUCCUCUACUCGCUGUCUGGAAUAAUACCCUCCAGGAGGACCGUCUGCAAGAACAUGCCCUCCCUCUGUGCUUUCCCAGGGAUCUGCUGGAACCAGGCACAAGGCAUGGAGAAAGUGGGGCCCCAGCCUCACACUCACACAUACACCCAGCCAGACACAAUCCAGAGCCAUGGACACAGGCACCUGUGCAUACAACAGUCAUACAGACAUGGCCCCAUCUGACAGAGCUCACUCACACACACACACACACACACACACGGGAUGCACACACGGUGCAUUGAGGCCAGAGAGAUAAUGCAACUCUCACAAACAUACUUAUACCAUGGAUACCCACGGACGGAUGCAUCCAUGCUACUUAUUGCACACACUCACAUAUUCACGGAUGUAGGCACAGACCCAUGGAGAAGCACACCAAUAUGCAUGUGAGAUGUAGAACGCCGUUGUCAACCAGACACCCUCAGAGACAGCCAGACGCCACCUGGACAUGUAGGCAUGAAAGCAUAAGGAGAUGCUUCAUCACUAGUUCCUAAGUGUGUAUGCACGCACACAAAAAAAAUGCACACAGCUCCCACCGUUGACCAGGUGCACCAGAAGUAUCAGAUCCCAAGCAUGUGGAUGUUGAACAAACCUCCACCCUCCAGCCUGGCCAUGCGCAGCGUCCCUGGCAGGAAGAGCACCGCUGUGCCGCUCUGGCCCGCUGACCGACCUCCAGGGUUUGGUGCAGAUGGUGGGGCCGAGGCCUGCACCACAUAGCCAGCGGCCUGUCUUGCCUGCCCUUGGCAGUCCCAGCCUACUUUUCCUUGGCUGUGUGAUCCUGAAGUUACCUCUUCCCACAGUUCUGCAGGCUUUGACAAUUGGUGUAACAAUCUGGAUUUCGAUUUUUUUUUUUUUUGAGAAUUAGAAGGUCUGUUGGGACUGGGUCCCAGUCCUGCAGGAUAGCAAUAGUCUGGGGCCACCAACAGCUGCUCCUUUGAGGAACGUGAACAAUCCAGAAUUGCUGAGGUCCUCACUUACCUGGCCCCUGGAGGCUUCUGAGUCUGCCACCCCGGAAGUCAUAGGCUUGUAGACUUGUUUCCUCACGUGUGCAGGUGACAAACACAUCUACCCACUAAUGACUGUAUGCACAUCUUGCUAUUAUUCAUUAUUCUACAAAAAUGGCUUCACUCAGCAAAAACUAGAUGAGAACAUACAAAAAGUGGCAUGAGACCCCUUAAAAUAUUAUGAAUAUAUUUCUAUGCUAAUAAAUAUCUGCAUCCCGAUUUUUUAAAAUAUGUA